AUUGAACGCUGGCGGCAGGCUUAACACAUGCAAGUCGAGCGGGGGAAGGUAGCUUGCUACCGGACCUAGCGGCGGACGGGUGAGUAAUGCUUAGGAAUCUGCCUAUUAGUGGGGGACGACAUCUCGAAAGGGAUGCUAAUACCGCAUACGUCCUACGGGAGAAAGCCGGGGAUCUUCGGACCUUGCGCUAAUAGAUGAGCCUAAGUCGGAUUAGCUAGUUGGUGGGGUAAAGGCCUACCAAGGCGACGAUCUGUAGCGGGUCUGAGAGGAUGGUCCGCCACACUGGGACUGAGACACGGCCCAGACUCCUACGGGAGGCAGCAGUGGGGAAUAUUGGACAAUGGGGGGAACCCUGAUCCAGCCAUGCCGCGUGUGUGAAGAAGGCCUUAUGGUUGUAAAGCACUUUAAGCGAGGAGGAGGCUACUUUAGUUAAUACCUAGAGAUAGUGGACGUUACUCGCAGAAUAAGCACCGGCUAACUCUGUGCCAGCCGCCGCCGUAACAC
rnacentral:rRNA from 1 species